UCCAAGCAAGCUUGUAAAGAUUAGGUGCGAUGUCCACUGGAGCUAUGCCAUUAAGCCAACUGCAAUACCAAAACUUAGCAUGUGUUCCAUUCCCAAUAGUCACAAUUGUGCUUGCUCUGAAAAAUUACCAGUCGAUGUUGUCGCAUGGAGGUGCAGUUCCAACCUAUGGCCGGUCUAGUUUAGUCCAUUCAUACCAUAACCAUCACAAUCUCAAUGCCCUGCUGAAAAACUCAAGGUCUAGGAUCCCAAGUCCACCCAUAUUUUUUGGCAGCACCACUUUUUUCCACUUGACAAGACAAUGUCCCCCCUGUGCAUUAUCAAAU
rnacentral:lncRNA from 1 species